CCUGAGAACCCAAAAGAUCGAAUGAGGAGAUUCAUCGUCAAAGUAUUUGGUAUUAGUGCAAUUUAUGAUGUAGUAAAUAAUCCUCGUGGUUAGUAUAUUAUACAUUCUUGUACUAUUUUGCUAGGUACGUCGGCGUGCACUUCUCCUCUAGUAGAACGUCGCGACCCGUUGGAUGUUGAUCUAUGGUCUAAAUGGUUGCCUUUGAUUUUGCUUGCAUUGUCGGAGACCUUUAGUAUCCUGAUCAUCUGUUCGACGGUAUACAUAUGGUGUAAAGUCGCUUGUUAUAUGCGUUAAAUCCGCUGCAAGUGUGGUUAAUAAUUCGGCAGUAUGGAUCUGAUGCCAUCGCUGAUUUUGACUCACUGUUAGCAUGUGGUAUUCUUUAACUGACUUAAUACCGGUCAGCGAUGCUACUGCUUUGGGUACUUUCAGGACCCGUCUUGAAACA
rnacentral:rRNA from 1 species